rnacentral:lncRNA from 1 species
AUUAAUUUAUUCUUUGAGUUGCAGCUGCUCCCAGGUCAUAUAGUACUUUGGGGUAAAAUUAAGCAAAAGUAUCACCUUGUCUUACGGCAAAAGCUUUCUUACCUCUGCUCUGGGAAGUAGUCCCACACCUCCUGGAAGCUAGGAGAAAAUGAUUUCUGCUAUCAAAUAUAGUUGAGUUUGAAACUUCAGUAGUUCUCUGGUCUGUCUGGAUUUUGGCACAGCGGCUGGACAAGGCUCUUUAACUGGAGUUCUUCAACUUCCUUUGUGGCUCUCAGGCAGGCAUCAAUAUAAAGAGCUGCAUAUUAUUCCAGAGAGACUUGAUGCUGGGACCUACAGCUACUGCUUUAUAAUGGUAAGCAACCUGAGGCCCAGAGAGGUGAAAUGUUUUUGAGUUCACACAACAACUUGAGGUGAGUUUAGAUUGGGAUGAUGGUCUUGUGACAUAUUGAAGACACCGACUGAGAAUCACAAGUCCCUUAUCUGUCUCAAGUGCUCUGAUUCUACAAUCGCCAGGCUAUGGUUUUGGUUUGUCCAGCAAGCUUCCUGUCCUUCAAUCAUUGGUGAGGAUUUUUUGAGCAUAGCCCAGUCUCCUUACCUGUGGGAUGUCUUGGGGCUCACUGGCACAUAUUUUCUGUUUUACAGAUAAACUCCUGAUCAGAUAGGCUCAGUCCAUACUCUGCACCUCACUCUCUCUAUUGCUUUGGUGACAGACCAUAUUCCCACUUCCCUCUUAUCCUGACUCCUGACUAAGCACAACCCUUAGAGUCUCUCCACACCUUCAGUCACUGAGGGCUCUGCUCCUUAGUGUGGCGUUGCUAGCCAACUUAUCCCAACUUUGCAGGUGGUACCCAGGCAAUCUCUUAUGUGUGCCCUGUACUGUGCUAGAUGCCAAUAGAGACAAAAGACUCAGGAAACUUCGUCACAGCCUUUGAUCAGUUGCCUCAGCACAAAGGCAAACUUUUUAACAUAGCUCACAAGGUCCUUUUUCAUGAUUGGGUCUGACCUUAAAAUGAAGAAAUCAUGGUCGUUCCUAAACAAAUGAUUGUCCCUCCAAUAUCACAGGUUACAUUCUAUUCUUUCCCCUUUCCUUACUUGUAACUCCCUCUUCCAAAAGUAAGAAACUUAGCUCCUCUUGAUAACCGUUUUUUUAAAACUCUGAUUUUUGAAAUAAUUUUAGACCUACAGCAAAGUUACACAGAUAGCACAGAGAGUUCCUAUAUACUUCUCACUUAGUUUCUAUUUAUCGUCUUGAAUAACCCUGGUACAUUUAUCAGAAGUAAAACUUAACAUUGGUGUGUUACCAGCAACUAAACUCCAGAUUUCCUUUACUACUUUUCCCACUGAUAUCCUUUGUUUGUUCCAAGAUCCAAUCCAGGAUACUGCAUUUUAUUUAAACCUCAGUUUUUUGUUUUUUGUUUUUUUGAGGAAGAUUAGCCCUGAGCUAACAUCUGCUGCCAAUCGUCCUUUUUGCUGAGGAAGACUGGCCUUGAGCUAACAUCCAUGCCCAUUUUCCUCUACUUUAUAUGUGGGACGCCUACUACAGCAUGGCUUGCCAAGCAGUGCCACGUUCGCUCACACCCAGGAUCCGAACCGGCGAACCCUGGGCUGCCCAAGCAGAACGUGCGAACUUAAUCACUGUGCCACCAGGCCUGCUCUAGCCCUCAAUAUUUUUAAAGGUACUGCCCAAAUAGUGCUGGGUCUGCAGCUUGAAGGUGAGGUGUGGGCCUAUUUUCUGCACCCUGCAACAUAAAAUCCAAACCUGUGGCCUUUCUGAAUAAAAUUGAAUUUUCAUCUUAAUUUGAAGUACAGGUGUUUAGAGAUGUCAAGCCAUGAGACAAGGAAAAGUCAACAUGAAGUAGACACUUUCUUUCCCAUGAGUAAUAAAACUUUAAGAUCACAAUAUUAUUUCCAUUACAAGAACAUGAAUAAUGUGAACGGUGGCUUUACUAUUGCUGAGUGUUUUGUUGGGCACGUUUCUAUUGAGUCACCUCAUGUUUUAAAAUUCUAGACACAGGGAAAGCAGAGUUGGCAAAGGUUGGCCAAGAGAACUAAGCUCCCAGGAGGUUGUAUUUUAUGUUUUUCCCUAAAAUAAGCCAGAUAUGAUGCUGGAAAUUUUUUACACACUAUUUUAAUUGUACAAAACCUGGUGUGGUUAUGGUUUUCCUCAUUUUUAGAGUUGAGAAAAUUUAGCCAUGAAGUAUUUUAAAAAGUUUCUCAACAUUACGUCGCAG